UCAAUUUUCAUCAACCUGUUGUGAACACUACUUUUAAAUAAGUAAGUAGUAAUUUGGGGUUGGAGAACUUGCUUAACUUGAUAUAUCCCAGUUAAGUCAAAUUAGAAAAAAUAAUUUCUUGUACCCAGUGUCCUUUGGGCGUUCUAUCAGACAUGCGCAGAUCUGCCCUGCCCACUUUCGCGCUCUUUCCAACACCUUUCUCAGUUAUUUUCGCCAUUGUGGGUUUACUUGUCCUCAGUACACUGAUUUGGCACUGCUGCAAUCGUCACACUUUUUCUGUUACAAACUGACCCGGCCCCUCAUCAGAGAAGGGAAAAGUCAUGUGGCCUUCACAGGAAAAGGUUUGGGGACCCCUGCUUUAGAGUGUUUGUCAUCUGCCCUUCCAUUUGCUUUUCUUCAUGUGCAGUGCUCCCCCUCCAUGUUUGAUCAAACUGCACUGAUAAUUUGAAAUUGUUUUAAAAUGCAUUAAUCGCAAAAAUCAGAGGACUAGAUCACAUUUCCCCCUGUUAUUUCACCACUUUAACUUUGGUCUAACCUAAUAUAGGAAUACAGAUAGAAAGAGUGCAGAGAUCACACUCGACGCCAUAACAACCUGGUGUGUUUAAGGUUGGUCAUUUAUGUGCCUAUAUUUUGAAAUUGUUGCCUUAAUUUUGUGUUCUUUUUCACCAUCCCCCAAUCAGGCUGAAGCAAAUGGUCAAAAGUCCACACAUACCUCAGUCUCAGCAAUUACAGGUCAACCAAAGCAGUAUUCUCUAAUGCAGUGGACUUGCAAGUACUGCACAUUUUCUGCUGAAAAGAGCCUACUUGCUUAAGCAUUACCGCUUAAAACAUGGAUACCACACUCGGACAUCCCUACUCCCAUGUCUUCAUAAGGACUGCCUCUGCACAUUUAAAUCUUUUAAUGCACUCAAAGUACACCUAUCGACAUGGCACUCUCAAAAAGAUGCAGGCAAAAGUGGAGAAACUGCAUUUGACCGUCAGUUGUGCAACUUUGUGGAGCCCUGCUCAGAAGCAGACUUCUUUACCCAUUUGCGAGGACAUCUUAAGCUGAGGCAAAUGGUUACUUGCCCAUAUCAAGACUAACUUUCAGAGCAGUAUUUAUUCGACCUUCACUGCACACAAAAGCAAAGAAAUGUGAAAUGUGUUUGAGCCAUAGUGUGGGUAGGACAUUUGUGUCUAAAUCAUUCAAUCCCAAUAAAAGUUGCUUUAAUAAAAAAAAACUUAUUUUUAAUCAAAGAAAAAGAACCUUUUGCAAAAAUAUAUUUUUUUGAAAAUAUAUAUAUUUUUAAAUAUAUAUUUUUUUUAUUGACGUGUCACUUUUUUUUUAAAGGAAAAAGUUUAAAACUUUUUUUUUAAAGUGGAAAAAGUUUUGAACGCAUUUCUUUUUUUCUUUUUGAAGUGGAAAAGGUUUUAA